AGCCGGGCCUGAUUAGGGCCCCUCCCGCUGGCGGCCGCGGGCGCUUUGAAGUGAGCCGCUGCCGGGCCGCUCCGGCCGCCUGGCCGUCCCUGCCGCCAGGCCGUCGGUCCGGGGCUGGCGGCGGGGCCGGCGGCGCGUGUUUAUCCAGGUACCACCAGGAGCCCUGGCAUCAUCAGAAUCUUAUUAGAAAUGUAGAAUCUCAGGCCCCUCCCCAGACCUGCAGAGUGAAAUCUGUUUUUUAAAAGAUCCCUGGUGAAUUGGACACGCAAUAAAGUUUGAGGACGCUAACAUCUGGUUAAAAGUCUGCUAUUGCCACUGUGUGGGAACCUGUCUUUGGGAAGCUGCACCUCCUUCAUCGGAUUGGCAAGAGCUGAGCCUUCUCCAUCAGACCAGCUAUGCUUCCAGAGCAGAAGCUGUGCUUCUGGGAUCUUCCCGAGGACAGGGAUUGAUCCUCCCCAAUCAAACUGGGAAUCUGGCAGAAGCAGAGGUGGUUCUUGGUCGCAGGCCGGAAGCUCGCCUGAAGCUUGUGGUGCCACCCCCGUCUGACUGGCAGUCCCCAGGAUCCCCUGUGAAACUUGGCUGGCUUUGGGGUCGAGAGCCACCUGCAAGGAGAGGUAUCUGUUCGCGUUUUCCAAGAGGAUGGAGAAGCCAGAGCGGAGAGAUGGGCCUGUGUUGCGAUUCUGGCCAGUGAAGCAUGAGAAAAAAUCAGGGAAGGGGCCCUCCUUGGCUUAAAAUGAGGCUCAAGGUUAACAGGAUAUCUCCUUUCUCCUGCUUUGGCUAUUACUGUGUGAGGUCAUGAUACUUGGCGCAGCUGCAGCCAUUCUGUAACCAUGAGGUGACAGGUCUCUAAGCGUGGCAGAGCAGAACCAGCAGAAACAUGGUGGUUGGAAGUGGUGAUGCACUUGAACCAAUGAACUGACCAAACCCAGAAGGCCCACUCUUUGGACUCAUUGGCCUGUGAGAUGACACAUUUUUCUUGCUGUGUCUCCUAAUGUCUGGCUUAAUAGAAGACAGCUGGGUUCUCAUAUUGGCUUCUGCGUUCAAUUUGUUCCAAUAUCCCAUGUCAUGAAGCCCCUGGAAAACUCCGCUGUGCAAAUCCUGGGAGAACGAGAGUGAGAAAAGCACCGGCCAUCGCGGGAUUUGUAUUAGUUUUCUGUGGCUGCUGUAACAAAUGACUGUAACCUUGGUGACUGACAGCAGAAAUGUAUUCUCACAGUUCUGGAGGCCGCCAGCCUGACGUCCAGGAGUUACCAGAGCUGUGCGGUUCCCAGAAACUCUAGGGGAGAACCUGGCCCUUCCCUCUGCUGGCUUCUGGUGGCUGUCCAUGUCCGUAGGCUUGCGGCUGUGUCACUUCAUUCUCUGCCUCCAUUUUCAUAGCACUGUGUUUAUCUUAUGACAUUUGUCAUUGGAUUCAGGGCCCACCCAGAUCAUCUGGGCUUAUCUCCUCAACUCAAAAUCCUUAAUUGUAUCUGCAAAGACCUUUAUUUUUUAUUUUUUAUUUUUUUGCAAAGAAGUUUUUAUUCAGUUUCUGGGGAUUAGGACAUGGGCCUAUCAUUUUGGGGACCACCAUUCAACCCACUACAGUAUUAUUACAAAAAUAAUUCAGCCUGUGGAACCCCUGAAAGAGUCGUGGGGACCCCUGGGGUCAGACUUUGGAAACCAGGGAUCUAUGACUUCCACACAUAUAUAAGUAGGCAGAUGGUGGAAGGAGGGCCAGAUACACGUAGCCUAAUAAUCCGAUGAAAAUAAAAUUUCUAGAUAGAGUCCUAGAGGGAAUAUUCCAGCAAAGGGGAAUGAGAGGUGUCCAGUGUGUGAGAGAGGACCGGGGCCAGUGGAAGACCAGAGAUUGGGGGGGAAGAUGGCAGGCGAAGGGCUUCUAAGUACAGGAAUGCCUAGUUUGGGGUUGUUCCUGUGUGGUGCCAUGCUAUGACCCCCCCCCCCCCCCCAGCGCCUGAAAACUGAUCCAGGCUGAUAUUCACCAAGAGCUCUGCGUGAAUGAUGCUGAUGCUGGUGGAGAGAGGGACAGUCCAGGGAAGCAGCGGCUGGGGCUCCUAUCUGAGGCAGUUACAAGACAGGACGUGGCAGGCAGGAUGGUGACAUGACCCCACACUGACCAGGUCAGAUAAGAACUCAGAGGGCAGGGGUGCUGGAGAAAAUCUAAGAGACACCCCCAAGAUUGUGAGAGAGAGGGGUUCCCAUCUUCAAGUCUGUGUGAGAGAGUAGCCUCGCUGCUUGGUCGGCAAAAGUGGAUGAGCUUCACAGCUCAAAGGACGGGCACCCUUAACCAAUAUCCAAGUGAUUGGGUUGAGUGGGACCAGGAGCCCAGGAAAGAGAUGGGCGAGACCCUUUUGCAGGUGCCACCCCCCCCCCAAGCGGCCCAUGAGGAGUCCCAGAACCCCUAAGGCAAGUGGAUCACAUUUAAAACAGAUUAAUCCCUCCCUCCUCACUUUACAAAUGGGAAAUCAUAAAGAGAAUGGCUGAUGAUUGUCACGUCAUACCAAUGCAAAAAAAAAAACCCAAACCAAACCAAAACAAAACAAAAACCCUCCACAAAACCC